rnacentral:rRNA from 1 species
AUUGAACGCUGGCGGCAUGCCUUACACAUGCAAGUCGAACGGUAACGGGUCCUUCGGGAUGCCGACGAGUGGCGAACGGGUGAGUAAUAUAUCGGAACGUGCCCAGUAGUGGGGGAUAACUGCUCGAAAGAGCAGCUAAUACCGCAUACGACCUGAGGGUGAAAGGGGGGGAUCGCAAGACCUCCCGCUAUUGGAGCGGCCGAUAUCAGAUUAGCUAGUUGGUGGGGUAAAGGCCUACCAAGGCAACGAUCAGUAGUUGGUCUUAGAGGACGACCAGCCACACAAUGAUUAAGGCACCGGCGAGACUACUACGCGAGGCAGCAUUGGGGAAUAUUGGACGAUGGGCGCAAGCCUGAUCCAGCAAUGCCGCGUACAGGAAGAAGGCCUUCGGGUUGUAAACUGCUUUUGUCAGGGAAGAAAUCUUCUGGGCUAAUACCCCGAGAGGAUGACGGUACCUGAAGAAUAAGCACCGGCUAACUACGUG